rnacentral:lncRNA from 1 species
GAGGGACUUAGGAGGAGGUAAUUGAAUCAUGGGGGCGGGUCUUUCCUGUGCUAUUCUCCUGAUAGCCAGUAAGUCUCACUAUCUGAUGGGUUUCUCAGGGGUUUCUGCUUUGGCUUCUUCCUCAUUUUCUCUUGCUGCUGCCUUGUAAGAAGUGCCUUUUGCCUCCCGCCAUGAUUCUGAGGCCUCCCCAGUCAUAUGGAAAUGUAAGUCCAAUUAAACCUCUUUUUGGUCCUGGACUCUGUUAUGUAUUUGUCAGCAGCAUGAAAACGGACUAAUACACUCUCAUUUCUGAGUGGGACACAUGCUGUCACUCACAUAUGCUGGUUGCUGACUUGUGACGGAAGAUUCUCUAUUGUACCCUCUGGGGACAAUACAUCUCCAGUUGCCUGCGGGGAGGAUGAAC